AUUGAACGCUGGCGGCAGGCCUAACACAUGCAAGUCGAACGAGAGGCGGACGGGUGAGUAAUGUCUGGGAAACUGCCCGAUGGAGGGGGUUAACUACUGGAAACAGUCGCUAAUACCGCAUACCAUCGUAUGUGCGCAGAUGGGAGUAGCUAGUAGGUGGGGUAACGGCUCACCUAGACGACGAUCCCGAGCUGGUCUGAGAGGCUGACCAGACACACUGGAACGGAUAAACGGUCCAGCAUCCUACGAGAGGUAGCAGUGGCGAAUAUUGCACAGUGGGCGCAAGCCUGAUUCAGCCAUGCCGCGUGUAUGACGAAGGCCUUCGGGUUGUAAAGUACUGUCAGCGAGGAGGCGUUACUCGCAGAAGAAGCACCGGCUAACUCCGUGCCAGCAGCCGCGGUAAUAC
rnacentral:rRNA from 1 species